AAGAGAUUUAUCAUUGGGU
rnacentral:snRNA from 1 species